rnacentral:rRNA from 1 species
UGAACGCUGGCGGUAGGCCUAACACAUGCAAGUCGAAUGGCAGCACAGUAAGAGCUUGCUCUUACGGGUGGCGAGUGGCGGACGGGUGAGGAAUACAUCGGAAUCUACUUUUUCGUGGGGGAUAACGUAGGGAAACUUACGCUAAUACCGCAUACGACCUACGGGUGAAAGCAGGGGAUCUUCGGACCUUGCGCGAUUGAAUGAGCCGAUGUCGGAUUAGCUAGUUGGCGGGGUAAGGCCCACCAAGGCGACGAUCCGUAGCUGGUCUGAGAGGAUGAUCAGCCACACUGGAACUGAGACACGGUCCAGACUCCUACGGGAGGCAGCAGUGGGGAAUAUUGGACAAUGGGCGCAAGCCUGAUCCAGCCAUACCGCGUGGGUGAAGAAGGCCUUCGGGUUGUAAAGCCCUUUUGUUGGGAAAGAAAAGCAGCAGGUUAAUACCCCGCUGUUCUGACGGUACCCAAAGAAUAAGCACCGGCUAACUUCGUG